CCUCCUUUCUAAGGAAGACUGGAAGCAAUUCCGGUCUUUACUUGACACUAAAUCGAAGUCUGCUUUCUCAAGGCAGGCCGCUGCCGUCGACGCAUCCCUUUCCUGUGAUGGUAUUUUGGCGAGACAGAGCCAUGCUUGGUUCUGUCGUUUCGUCUGUCCGAACCGGGCUAGUAGCUCAGCUGGUUAGAGCGCGCGCUUGAUAAGCGUGAGGUCGGGGGUUCAAAUCCUCCCUGGCCCACCAAGUUGCUCUGACGGCUCGUUGCGGGGACAGCCGGCUGGAGCCGGUGACGAAACGAGAUCGCGACCGAUUUUCUCAAACGGGGGCAUAGCUCAGUUGGGAGAGCGCCUGCUUUGCAAGCAGGAGGUCGUCGGUUCGAUCCCGUCUGCCUCCACCAUCACACGCACAGAACGCAGUGCCAGGACGUGGCGCGGCAUUGUUCUUUGACAUCGUUUAUCGGAAUGUAAUGAGGUCUUUAAAGUCUAGAUUAUUCCGCGCCCUGCAUCUCUCAAAGGCAGGGUGGUAAGAAUGGGUAA
rnacentral:tRNA from 1 species